rnacentral:lncRNA from 1 species
CAGGUAUUUUGGAAAAAGAGUUUUCCAUAUCUCGAACUGGAAGUCGUAUAAAUUUAACAUAUGACAGACGAUAGGGUUUGACGAGAUAUCCAUAACCUCCAUCACGUCGGAAUCCAUGAUAGAGAGACUAUAUCAUACGCUAACUGCAUCAAGAGGUUCAGAUAUUCCAUUCUACUGGGUUGCCACCACAUACUGCUAGGUAUCACUAGUGGAUUGUGAGACUCGAAGGCAUUCACUUGGUGAUCAGUGAACCCUAAGAAUAGAACUGAAAUCGUUUCAGUGAUAUUGAGAUGGAGAUCUCAAUAUUUCUCACUACCAGUCAGAAUAGAACCUACGGGAUCACACACAUAGAGGAUUUAAUUAGUCAGACUAUCAUAAUUGUGAUUUGGAAUCAUAAUAGAAAUCAAUCAUCAAUAUGAUUGGUGAUUGAAUUAACCCACUAAGUAUUAGUGAGUUAAUGGAAGAAGAAUUAAGU